rnacentral:piRNA from 1 species
UUGCAUAAGCGUCGUCUGACGUAUCCGA